rnacentral:rRNA from 1 species
ACGAACGCUGGCGGCGUGCCUAAUACAUGCAAGUUGAGCGCUGAAGGUUGGUACUUGUACCAACUGGAUGAGCAGCGAACGGGUGAGUAACGCGUGGGGAAUCUGCCUUUGAGCGGGGGACAACAUUUGGAAACGAAUGCUAAUACCGCAUAAAAACUUUAAACACAAGUGUUAAGUUUGAAAGAUGCAAUUGCAUCACUCAAAGAUGAUCCCGCGUUGUAUUAGCUAGUUGGUGAGGUAAAGGCUCACCAAGGCGAUGAUACAUAGCCGACCUGAGAGGGUGAUCGGCCACAUUGGGACUGUGACACGGCCCAAACUCCUACGGGAGGCAGCAGUAGGGAAUCUUCGGCAAUGGACGAAAGUCUGACCGAGCAACGCCGCGUGAGUGAAGAAGGUUUUCGGAUCGUAAAACUCUGUUGGUAGAGAAGAACGUUGGUGAGAGUGGAAAGCUCAUCAAGUGACGGUAACUACCCAGAAAGGGACGGCUAACUACGUG